AACGAACGCUGGCGGCAGGCCUAACACAUGCAAGCCGAACGAAGGCCCGGAGCUUGCUCCGGGUACCUUAGUGGCGGACGGGUGAGUAACACGUGGGAACCUACCUAGCAGUACGGAAUAACUGUGGGAAACCGCAGCUAAUACCGUAUACGCCCCCCUUGGUAACGUUUGGGGGGGAAAGAUUUAUCGCUGUUGGAUGGGCCCGCGGCUGAUUAGCUUGUUGGUAAGGUAAUGGCUUACCAAGGCUACGAUCAGUAGCUGGUCUGAGAGGAUGAUCAGCCACACUGGGACUGAGACACGGCCCAGACUCCUACGGGAGGCAGCAGUGGGGAAUAUUGGACAAUGGGCGCAAGCCUGAUCCAGCCAUGCCGCGUGAGUGAAGAAGGCCCUAGGGUUGUAAAACUCUUUCACCGGGGACGAUGAUGACGGUACCCGGAGAAGAAGCCCCGGCUAACUCCGUGCCAGCAGCCGCGGUAAUACGGAGGGGGCUAGCGUUGUUCGGAAUUACUGGGCGUAAAGCGCGCGUAGGCGGUUUAUCAAGUCAGAUGUGAAAGCCCCGGGCUCAACCCGGGAACUGCAUUUGAUACUGGUUGACUAGAGGCCCGGAGAGGGUAGUGGAAUUCCCAGUGUAGAGGUGAAAUUCGUAGAUAUUGGGAAGAACACCGGUUGCGAA
rnacentral:rRNA from 1 species